rnacentral:misc_RNA from 1 species
GAUGAAGAACGCAGCGAAAUGCGAUAACUAAUGUGAAUUGCAGAAUUCAGUGAAUCAUCGAGUCUUUGAACGCACAUUGCGCCCCCUGGUAUUCCGGGGGGCAUGCCUGUCCGAGCGUCAUUGCUGCCCUCAAGCACGGCUUGUGUGUUGGGCUCCGUCCCCCCGGGGACGGGCCCGAAAGGCAGCGGCGGCACCGCGUCCGGUCCUCGAGCGUAUGGGGCUUCGUCACCCGCUCUUGUAGGCCCGGCCGGCGCUUGCCGACACAUCAAUCUUUUUUCCAGGUUGACCUCGGAUCAGGUAGGGAUACCCGCUGAACUUAAGCAUAUCAAUAAGCGGAGGA